AACGGUCUAUACCUGCGGUACCUGCGGAGGGAUCAUUACCGAGUUAUCAACCCCCAAACCCCUGUGAACAUACCCGAACGUUGCCUCGGCGGGACCGCCCCGGCGCCCCUAGCGGCCCGGAACCAGGCGCCCGCCGGAGGACCCAAACUCUUGCUUUAAACAGUGGCAUACUCUCUGAGUCUCACAAACAAAAAAUAAAUCAAAACUUUCAACAACGGAUCUCUAGAUCGGAAGAGCACA
rnacentral:misc_RNA from 1 species